rnacentral:rRNA from 1 species
UGGGGAAUAUUGGGCAAUGGGCGAAAGCCUGACCCAGCAACGCCGCGUGAGGGAAGAAGGUUUUCGGAUUGUAAACCUCUGUCCUCAAGGAAGAAGCAAGUGACGGUACUUGAGGAGGAAGCCCCGGCUAACUACGUGCCAGCAGCCGCGGUACUACGUAGGGGGCGAGCGUUGUCCGGAAUGACUGGGCGUAAAGGGCGCGUAGGCGGCCGUACAAGUCUCACGUGAAAGUCCUGCUUUCAAGGUGGGAAUUGCGUGGGAAACUGUAUGGCUUGAGUGCGGAAGAGGUAAGUGGAAUUCCCAGUGUAGCGGUGAAAUGCGUAGAGAUUGGGAGGAACACCAGUGGAGAAGGCGACUUACUGGGCCGUAACUGACGCUGAUGCGCGAAAGCGUGGGGAGCGAACA